GUGAGCCCACAAGGACGCAUGGAGAUCAAUGCACCAUAUUUGCAUCUUGCUAAUGGAAAAGUUGAAACUCAACAUGAAGCCAAAACCAGUUCCUUGCGCGCAGCCAAGACGCCGCUCGCCUCCACAAGCGGGCUGCGCGGCGCGAUGAAGCCGAGCGACACGAGCAGCAGCAGCAGCAGCUGCAGCAGCACGGGAGGAGAACCAUUCCAACACCUCCAUCAACACCAAAAGCGCCAGCAACCUGCACGCAGCGUGACAGAAGCGUGAGAGCAGCCAUGGCGAAUCAACCCGAAGCUGGAGGAAGACACGCCCCCCUGCUUCCCUAUCGGCCCGCCGCUUGGCGUCAAGUCGCGCUUGAACACGCCCUUCGAGAUGCAGAGAAAGCCCAGCUGGACCUAGCCGCAGGAGCGAGAGGUUAAUCGCAGAGCGGGAAGAGAUCGUCUCAGGUAAAGGAUGCAAAGCGUUGCCUGUGUCACACCAAAACACCUUUUGGGAGGUGGAGUGAAAUUGGCGAAAAGAAAGCCCAAAAUUGGGAUGGCGCAAUCGGAUGCA